UACGUAGGGGGCGAGCGUUACCCGGAUUUACUGGGCGUAAAGAGCGUGUAGGCGGCUGGCCAAGCGUGAUGUGAAAUCUUCGGGCUUAACCCGAAAACUGCAUUGCGAACUGGUCUGGCUAGAGUGUGUGAGAGGGUAGUGGAAUUCGCGGUGUAGCGGUGAAAUGCGUAGAUAUCGGGAGGAACACCAGUGGCGAAGGCGGCUACCUGGCACAUAACUGACGCUGAUACGCGAAAGCGUGGGGAGCGAACCGG
rnacentral:rRNA from 1 species